rnacentral:rRNA from 1 species
AAAGGGAGAUCCUUCAAGAUGUUAUCAUGAGUAAGCAUUUUCGCAUGAUUAAAGGUUUACCGGUGUAAGAUGGGGAUGCGUUCCAUUAGAUAGUAGGCGGGGUAACGGCCCACCUAGUCUUCGAUGGAUAGGGGUUCUGAGAGGAAGGUCCCCCACAUUGGAACUGAGACACGGUCCAAACUCCUACGGGAGGCAGCAGUGAGGAAUAUUGGUCAAUGGACGAGAGUCUGAACCAGCCAAGUAGCGUGAAGGAUGAAGGUUCUAUGGAUUGUAAACUUCUUUUAUACGGGAAUAAACGAAUCCACGUGUGGAUUUUUGCAUGUACCGUAUGAAUAAGGAUCGGCUAACUCCGUGCCAGCAGCCGCGGUAAUACGGAGGAUCCGAGCGUUAUCCGGAUUUAUUGGGUUUAAAGGGAGCGUAGAUGGGUUGUUAAGUCAGUUGUGAAAGUUUGCGGCUCAACCGUAAAAUUGCAAUUGAUACUGGCAGUCUUGAGUACAGUUGAGGUAGGCGGAAUUCGUGGUGUAGCGGUGAAAUGCUUAGAUAUCACGAAGAACUCCGAUUG